UGCAAAACGCGUCGGCGCUUUGUUGCGGCCGCGACCGCAUACAUGUACGAUUUAUCGAUCCGAAACCGCGUACACGGUUUCGUAGCGCGCGCGUAGACCCGUAUACAUUUUCCGAACACGGAGAUACACAAACAAAGAUACAAGCGCGCGAACACAGGCGUCCUCGUGUAUGCACGUGCACGCGUCAACCUCGCGACCGCCACGGUCGCCGACAGUCACGGCCGCCGGCCGCGCGCGGCGGGGUGACUCCCGUGACUCGCGUUUUCGCAGUUCUCUAUUUUCUCGCCGUUAGUUAUUUUUGAAACGCGACCGUACGGGGCGUACAGCAGCGGCCAGCGGCCAGCGGCCGUCAUCGGCAGACAUUAGCGUUUUGUCUUUACUCGUCUUUACACACAAGAGAGAGCACCUCUCGCCUCAGGAAAAAUAUAUUUUACUCGGAAAUUUAUUAUACAUAUUAUACUUUUACCACACAGACUGAGAGGGAGAGAAAUACGUCGGAAGCGUUUCGGAGUCGAUUUUUCCUCGGCCGGCGUUUAUAGAGAAGUUUAGAUCCUGAACGAAGUUUACAAGUAAAUGACAAAACUUAAUGUCUAUGUUAUUAACUCCGACAGGGAGAACGUUUGUUUGAGCCACCUACUUGCUAAGUCCACUCAAUGUUGCGACGUGAGCAAGUCUUGACGAAUGAUGGAUGACAUCCUACGACGCAUGAGAUUUUCGCUGAGAAGAGCGUGGCUCCGAGUCGCAUGCCAGAAAUUUGUCUCGGGCGUAUGAUAUUAUACAUAUUUCACCGGGAUGGAGUAAAUCGGGCGCGCGCCAGUUCUCGUCGAUUAACUUUCGUGGAUCGUCGGGCUGGCGGGGAUCGAGAGCAUCGCCGUCGAUGGAACGACGAGGAUUGAGGAUUAUCGACACGUGGAGUCCGACUCGGAGGAUGAGAUAAUAGGAGAACUACCUACUGUUUAAUUCAGCGGCGUGCGGCGUGCGACGUGGCGCACCUCUUCGCCCACACUUGGCCGUGCUUCGCCGUCGAUCGUCGAUCGUCUGUCACACAGGCGUCACAGCCACAGCGCGACACAGAGUCGUCAGUCGUCCGCACUCGCGUCCUUACAACACGUCAGCAUAUGUCGGCGGCAGCGCAAGUGCGAACGCAAUCGAACACGCGAAUAAUUUUUACGUAACGAUACCAGCGGCGACGGGUGAUGAUACUGAUGAUCCGCGUCCGACCGCACGACUUCGACGUCCCGUCGGGAUUUUAUUUCAGUACAUUAUAUAUUAUGGAUUUACAUAAUGGAUAAUGUAGACGUUCAGGGAUAGGUAUUAAAGGAAUAUCGUGAAUACCUCGUGGAGAGCGAUCGUAUCUUUGUCUCUCGUUAGAAGUGGUAUCUCUCUUCGUUUCGAUGCCGACCUACCUCAAUGAACGACCGCCACGAUCUUUAAUUCCAUGUUAAAACUUCUGCGAGCUGCGAGCAUCACCCUCACAUUGGGACGCGUAUCUCCUUGUUAUAAUUAUGUGUAUAGAUAUAGAUGUGUAUAACGGAAUCUUCCUCGCGACUUAACGUUCCUCUUUGUCAGAGGAUGCGGCGCACACCAGGACCACCAACGUCGAGCUCGCGUCCUGUCGCGUUUCGCGCGCCGUGUCCUUUCGUUGGGGCCGUUGGGGGUCGGGGGAUCGAUUCUCGGCGGAGCGGGAGGCGGCGCCGCACGGAACGCGGUGAUCGGUUCCGACGCGCCUUUCCGAAUGAAAAAGAUCCGCGAUACGUUUGUUAUCGGAAGCGCGGGGUUUAUCUCGCGCGAUCCCUAUCCCCUCGCCGCGAUAGCGCGCCGCGGGCAUGGCGGCCGUACCAGUCGCUCCCGGCGGCAGCCCGUGAAAAACGAACGACCCGGUAACAUUUUCGCAGUACGAGGGAAACAACACUGCCGUCGACCGUCGACACGCCGCCUGCGCCGCGUAUCGAUUUGCGUCGCGACGCCCGACGCACGGCCCGACACGAGUCGUCGGUAGCGCCUUCUCCCCGAUCAGAGUUCCCCCUGCGAAUCAUUAGCUCGAUAUACGUACUAGCGAGAUGGUCCCUAAACUCGUAGAGGCCUCCUGAAUGACUCUGAGCAAAGUACUCUGUAAAUAUAUAUAAUAUUUCAUACACCGUUGAAAAUGUCAAAAACCAAUACUCUCGAAAUUUUUAUUUGAUGAGGAAAAAUGUUUUAUAUAUGUCUGUUGAGAACAAGUAAAUGAUGUUUUGUA